rnacentral:tRNA from 1 species
GAGGGUGUAGCCCAGUGAUGGAGCGCAUGCUUACCAUGCAUGAGGUCCUGGGUUCAACCCCCAGCGCCUCCU